ensembl:lncRNA
AGUAGCGACGUGGCUUCCCGGUGGACGUCACGAGCAUCGGAUCCAGCACCGAGCGGGAGACUCCUUGACACUCUGCACCGCUUAGACCGUGGAUCGUAAGUAGGGCUUCUCGAUUAUGGCAAAAAUCAUAACCACGAUUAUUUUGGUCAAUAUCGAGAUCACAAUUAUUAAACACAGUUACUCAUUGCCUUAUUCCAAAAGAAAAACCUGGGGGGAAAAAAAAAAAAAAAAAAAAAAACAUAGAAGACAAUUACAUAAAUUUGUUUAAUGAAAUAAAUUGCGGAGUACGUCACGUGACGCAUUUUGGCGAAUCGCGUCGCCAGAAAUGAACUUUAAACGUCCUUAGCCAGUGAGAUUCUGUCUCCCGGUGUAGAUCAGCCUGUUCAGCCUGUAGUUUCUGCAGGAGCUGGAGAAAGGAAAUGACCGUAUUUAGACCGGAGUCUGAGAGAGUCAUACAUCAGUCUGAGGUCACACAGACAUUGUUCAAAAUCAAAAACAAAAGAAAUGACCAUCACGUCUGUGGACGUGGCAGCAGAAGUGGAUGGUAGCUUUUCCUCAGACUCCACCAGUCAACAGCCCAAGCCUGUCUCCCUCUUUCUUUACCCUUGGGUGCAAUCUGAACCAACAAGAGUCAUUGAGUCAGUUGCAUCAUUGAAUAAAUAUCAAUAUUAGUGAACUCUUUUUCUUUUUGAAAGGCCAAAGAGAUCUCUGGCCAACCAACGUUCACCGAGACACGUGUACUUUAAUAAGGGGGAAUAGCAUCCAUCAAUGGUCGCAUGCGAGCACGGAGAAAAUCAGAGCUACUGAGACUUUUGUAAAUCUGCCAGAAAUUUACUAAAAGAACAAUGAAUGAGGUCAAACCAAAAAAAAAAAAAAAAAAACUAAAGUCAGCGUUUUGUCAUCCGUCCUCGUUUCAUGCUCAUCAUCCUGGAGUUCUGCUUCCCUCGCGAUCUUCUGUACGAUCUGAACCCAGAAACAUGACAACAAGUUUCAAGCAGUAUCCUGUAUAAGCAUGUCUGAUCUGCUAGUCCAAGUGUCCAUUCUCUCUACUCUACACAAAGUAAAGAAAAAGAAAUGUUUAGACCUGAUGCGAACGGUCGGCAUGUUUCAUACAGGAGAGAGACGUGUUUUCCUCUUCCUCUUUUUUCCCUCUUUCUCUACCUUCGUCUAUGUCUUUCUCCAAUAAACACACAGGACAAUAAACACACAGAACAAAACAAUAAACACACAGAACAAAACAAUAAACACACAGAACAAAACAAUAAACACACAGAACAAAACAAUAAACACACAGGACAAUAAACACACAGGACAAUACAAUAAAUAGAAAGGACAAUAAACACACAGGACAAAACAAUAAACACAGGACAAUAAACACACAGGACAAAACAAUAAACACACAGGACAAAACAAUAAAUACACAGGACAAUAAAUACACAGGACAAAACAAUAAAUAGAAAGGACAAUAAACACACAGGACAAAACAAUAAAUAUACAGGACAAUAAACACACAGGACAAAACAAUAAACACACAGGACAAUAAACACACAGGACAAUAAACACACAGGACAAUAAACACACAGGACAAUAAACACACAGGACAAACAAUAAACACACAGGACAAAACAAUAAAUACACAGGACAAUAAACACACAGGACAAAACAAUAAAUAGAAAGGACAAUAAACACACAGGACAAAACAUAAACACACAGGACAAAACAAUAAAUAGAAAGGACAAUACAAUAAAUAGAAAGGACAAUAAACAUACAGGACAAUAAACACACAGGACAGGACAAUAAACACAAGACAAUAAACACACAGGACAGGACAAUAAACACAAGACAAUAAACACACAGGACAGGACAUAAAUACACAGGACAAAACUAACACACAGGACAAUACAAUAAAUACACAGAACAAAACUAACACAAAGGACAAUAAAUACACAGGACAAUACAAUAAAUAGACAGGACAGUAAAUAAACAAGACAAUAAAAGAACAAGACAAAACAAUAAACACACAGAACAAAACAAAUACACAGGACAAUAAAUACACAGGACAAUACAAUAAAUACACAGGACAAUAAAUACACAGGACAAAACAAAUACACAGGACAAUACAAUAAAUACACAGGACAAUAAAUACACAGGACAAUAAAUACACAGGACAAAACAAAUACACAGGACAAUAAAUACACAGGACAAAACAAUAAAUACACAGGACAAAACUAACACAAAAGGACAAUAAAUACACAGGACAAUAAAUACACAGGACAAAACAAUAAAUACACAGGACAAUAAAUACACAGGACAAAACAACAAAUACACUAAAUAGAAAGGACAAUAAAUACACAGGACAAAAGAAUAAACACACAGGAAAAUAAACAACACACGAGACAAAACAAUAAAUACACAGGACAAUAAAAGAACAAGACAAAAGAAUAAAUAGACAGGACAAUGAAUAAACAAAACAAAAUAAAUACACAGGACAAUACAAUAAAUAGAAAGGACAAUAAACACACAGGACAAAACAAAAAACACACAAAACAAUAAAUACCCAGGACAAUAAAUAAACAAAAGAAAACAAUAAAUACAUAGAACAAACCAACAAACACAGGACAAAACAACAAAUACACAGGACAAAACAAUAAAUACACAGGACAAUAAAUAAACAAAAGAAAACAAUAAAUACACAGGACAAAACAAUAAAUACACAGGACAAAACAAUAAAUACACAGGACAAAACAAUAAAUACAC